rnacentral:rRNA from 1 species
GACGAACGCUGGCGGCGUGCUUAACACAUGCAAGUCGAACGGAAAGGCCCUGCUUGCAGGGUACUCGCGUGGCGAACGGGUGAGUAACACGUGGGUGAUCUGCCCUGCACUUCUGGAUAAGCUUGGGAAACUGGGUCUAAUACCGGAUAGGAACCAUCUUGAGUGUGGUGGUUGGAAAGUUUUUUCGGUGUAGGAUGAGCUCGCGGCCUAUCAGCUUGUUGGUGGGGUAAUGGCCUACCAAGGCGGCGACGGGUAGCCGGCCUGGGAGGGUGUACGGCCACAUUGGGACUGAGAUACGGCCCAGACUCCUACGGGAGGCAGCAGUGGGGAAUAUUGCACAAUGGGCGCAAGCCUGAUGCAGCGACGCCGCGUGUGGGAUGAAGGCCUUCGGGUUGUAAACUCCUUUCGCUAGGGACGAAGCGUUGUUGUGACGGUACCUAGAUAAGAAGCACCGGCUAACUACGUG